rnacentral:rRNA from 1 species
GAGUUUGAUCCUGGCUCAGGAUGAACGCUGGCGGCGUGCCUAAUACAUGCAAGUCGAGCGAACAGAUAAGGAGCUUGCUCCUUUGACGUUAGCGGCGGACGGGUGAGUAACACGUGGGUAACCUACCUAUAAGACUGGAAUAACUCCGGGAAACCGGGGCUAAUGCCGGAUAAUAUUUAGAACCGCAUGGUUCUAAAGUGAAAGAUGGUUUUACUAUCACUUAUAGAUGGACCCGCGCCGUAUUAGCUAGUUGGUGGGGUAAUGGCUUACCAAGGCAACGAUACGUAGCCGACCUGAGAGGGUGAUCGGCCACACUGGAACUGAGACACGGUCCAGACUCCUACGGGAGGCAGCAGUAGGGAAUCUUCCGCAAUGGGCGAAAGCCUGACGGAGCAACGCCGCGUGAGUGAUGAAGGUCUUCGGAUCGUAAAACUCUGUUAUUAGGGAAGAACAAAUGUGUAAGUAACUGUGCACGUCUUGACGGUACCUAAUCAGAAAGCCACGGCUAACUACGUGCCAGCAGCCGC